AUACGGAGGGGGCAAGCGUUAUUCGGAAUUAUUGGGCGUAAAGGGCGCGUAGGCGGCUUGGUAAGUCAACGGUGAAAUCCCUCGGCUCAACCGAGGAAUGGCCUUUGAAACUGCCUCGCUAGAGGCCGGGAGAGGGUAGUGGAAUUCCCAGUGUAGCGGUGAAAUGCGUAGAUAUUGGGAGGAACACCAGUGGCGAAGGCGACUACCUGGACCGGUUCUGACGCUGAGGCGCGAAAGCGUGGGGAGCAAACAGGAUUAGAAACCCGGGUAGUCC
rnacentral:rRNA from 1 species